CAGGCAAUGGAAUUGUGAAACGGACAGGUCGCCUUUUAUAUAUAUACAUAUACGAUACCAACGCACCCCUGUCUCCCUCGCUGUCAAAACUCUCCUCUCUAGUGAGACCAGCCACCUCCUUUCCUUCAACUAAUUCAAGCGAUUCCGUCAGUAGGAUAUCUCACUGAACAUUAGAGUAUAUAUAC